rnacentral:rRNA from 1 species
UUCGCCUUCAUGAAGCUGGAAUUGCUAGUAAUGGCAGGUCAGCAUACUGCCGUGAAUACGUUCCCGGGCCUUGUACACACCGCCCGUCACACCAUGAGAGCCGGUAAUACCCGAAGUCAGUAUCCUAACCGCAAGGAGGGAGCUGCCGAAGGUAGGAUUGGCGAUUGGGGUGAAGUCGUAACAAGGUAUC